GACGUAGGGGGCCAGCGUUGUUCGGAAUUACUGGGUGUAAAGGGUUCGUAGGCGGUGUGGCAAGUCGGGAGUGAAAUUUCUGGGCUCAACUCAGAGACUGCUUCCGAAACUGCUGUGCUUGAGUGUGGGAGAGGCGCGUGGAAUUGCAGGUGUAGCGGUGAAAUGCGUAGAUAUCUGCAGGAACACCCGUGGCGAAAGCGGCGCGCUGGACCACUACUGACGCUCAUGCACGAAAGCGUGGGGAGCAAACAGG
rnacentral:rRNA from 1 species